AACGUAGGAGGCGAGCGUUAUCCGGAUUUACUGGGCGUAAAGCGUACGCAGGUGGCUUCGUGAGUCGGACAUAAAAGCUCCUGGCUUAACUGGGAGAGGCUGUUCGAUACUGCGAGGCUUGAGGUUGGGAGAGGGACGCGGAAUUCCCGGUGUAGUGGUGGAAUGCGUAGAUAUCGGGAGGAACACCAGUGGCGCAAGCGGCGUCCUGGCCCACACCUGACGCUGAGGUACGAAAGCGUGGGUAGCAAACAGG
rnacentral:rRNA from 1 species